GGCGCAAACUUGAAGUGGAGUAUAUUAGUAUGGUCAGAUAAUCCUACUUAUCGACUCUACUUCGAAUUUGGGCCC
rfam:Haemonchus contortus, ISE/inbred ISE, WGS project CAVP01000000 data, contig: Hcontortus_2969